UUAAGUUCAGCGGGUAUUCCUACCUGAUCCGAGGUCAACCUUGAGAAGGGGGGUGUUUCACGGCAAGAACCCGCCGCACGUCCAAAGCGAGAUGUAUUACUACGCUCGGUGUGACAGCGAGCCCGCCACUGUUUUUAAGGGCCUGCGGCACCCGCAGAUGCCCCAACGCCAGGCCGGCUAGGGCCUGAGGGUUGAAAUGA
rnacentral:misc_RNA from 1 species